CUCAAUAAAACUUUUCCUGGGCUGGAUAGCAAAGGACACCUUUGGUUACCUGAAUGAACAGUUUUGGCCAGAAAUGGUGAGAAGAAAAAGCAUGAAGAAGCCGCGAAGUGUGGGGGAGAAAAAGGUGGAAGCGAAGAAACAGCUCCCGGAGCAAACUGUACAAAAACCUCGCCAAGAGUGUCGGGAGGCAGGACCGUUAUUCCUGCAGAGCAGGAGAGAGACGAGAGACCCUGAAACACGCGCCACCUAUCUUUGUGGGGAGGGAUAAUUGAAGCGCCCUGAGCGUACCAGAGCCAGAAAAAAAAAUGCUGCAUGGGAGCUGCAUCUUAGGGCAUGUGUAUUAGGGUGUGUGCAUGAUGAAUUUCUGGACUGGAUCCCAAUAUUAAAAAGUAGUUUGGCAUUUUAAUAAAGGGUCUCUAAGUAAAUUAAA